rnacentral:lncRNA from 1 species
AGCAGGUCGCUGCAAUGUUGGGCGCGAUGCAGCGCCAGGAGGCCCGAUUUGAGCAGCUCCAGGAAGUUGUGGAGCGGCAAGCGGCAGCGGCGGCGGCCGCAACAGCGGCAGGAGAUCGCGAUCCGCCCGCACCUUCGGCACGCACGCCGGUAGCAGCCGAGGGUGAGGGCAUAGCGGCGGUUCCGAUGGCGGCAGUUCCCCCGCCGGCAAGUGCACCUCC